rnacentral:rRNA from 1 species
GACGAACGCUGGCGGCGUGCUUAACACAUGCAAGUCGAACGGAAAGGCCCUGCUUUUGUGGGGUGCUCGAGUGGCGAACGGGUGAGUAACACGUGAGUAACCUGCCCUUGACUUUGGGAUAACUUCAGGAAACUGGGGCUAAUACCGGAUAGGAGCUCCUGCUGCAUGGUGGGGGUUGGAAAGUUUCGGCGGUUGGGGAUGGACUCGCGGCUUAUCAGCUUGUUGGUGGGGUAGUGGCUUACCAAGGCUUUGACGGGUAGCCGGCCUGAGAGGGUGACCGGCCACAUUGGGACUGAGAUACGGCCCAGACUCCUACGGGAGGCAGCAGUGGGGAAUAUUGCACAAUGGGCGGAAGCCUGAUGCAGCAACGCCGCGUGCGGGAUGACGGUCUUCGGGUUGUAAACCGCUUUCGCCUGUGACGAAGCGUGAGUGACGGUAAUGGGUAAAGAAGCACCGGCUAACUACGUGCCAGCAGCCGCGGUGAUACGUAGGGUGCGAGCGUUGUCCGGAUUUAUUGGGCGUAAAGGGCUCGUAGGUGGUUGAUCGCGUCGGAAGUGUAAUCUUGGGGCUUAACCCUGAGCGUGCUUUCGAUACGGGUUGACUUGAGGAAGGUAGGGGAGAAUGGAAUUCCUGGUGGAGCGGUGGAAUGCGCAGAUAUCAGGAGGAACACCAGUGGCGAAGGCGGUUCUCUGGGCCUUUCCUGACGCUGAGGAGCGAAAGCGUGGGGAGCGAACAGGCUUAGAUACCCUGGUAGUCCACGCUGUAAACGGUGGGUACUAGGUGUGGGGUCCAUUCCACGGGUUCCGUGCCGUAGCUAACGCUUUAAGUACCCCGCCUGGGGAGUACGGCCGCAAGGCUAAAACUCAAAGGAAUUGACGGGGCCCCGCACAAGCGGCGGAGCAUGCGGAUUAAUUCGAUGCAACGCGUAGAACCUUACCUGGGUUUGACAUGGAUCGGGAGCGCUCAGAGAUGGGUGUGCCUCUUUUGGGGUCGGUUCACAGGUGGUGCAUGGCUGUCGUCAGCUCGUGUCGUGAGAUGUUGGGUUAAGUCCCGCAACGAGCGCAACCCUUGUUCACUGUUGCCAGCACGUUAUGGUGGGGACUCAGUGGAGACCGCCGGGGUCAACUCGGAGGAAGGUGGGGAUGACGUCAAGUCAUCAUGCCCCUUAUGUCCAGGGCUUCACGCAUGCUACAAUGGCUGGUACAGAGAGUGGCGAGCCUGUGAGGGUGAGCGAAUCUCGGAAAGCCGGUCUCAGUUCGGAUUGGGGUCUGCAACUCGACCUCAUGAAGUCGGAGUCGCUAGUAAUCGCAGAUCAGCAACGCUGCGGUGAAUACGUUCCCGGGGCU